UUUCUUCUAAAGGCGAAAGGACCCAUGCCUCUCAACACUGCGAAAGCAUCAAAAUCUCCUAGAUAUGUAGCCUACUUACCAGCACGAAUGAGAUCAUCCCACCUGUUUCCAAUGCAGCAUAAUUAAUUUUUUUUCUUUUCUUCAGCUUAGUCAGUAACUUCGAAACUGGAAAUGUCUCAAUAUAAGAGACCCGAAUAAAAUUAUAAAGUGCGUUGAACAAAACAAGGGAACUAACACUCCAUGAGCAUGCGUUUGAUUAAAGUUAAGAUAGUGUGAUAUGUUUAACUGGUUUAGAUGGAUUAGUUGUUGUUUUUUUGCAGUGUGUGUUUCUCCCUCAGGGGAACACGUGUUGCAGCCAAAGGAGAGCUGCGGGGCCUCCCUCGUGGGAAACUGAUGUAAUGUGAUGGAGUGUGGUUAGAGCUAACGCACUUUUAAUACUUGACAUCCAUGCUUAAAGAUGAUUAUAAAUCACAAUACAACUGGUGAAGUGGGAGGUAUGGAGGUGGGGGUGCAUUUCCCUCCUAUUUCUUGUGUUCCACACUUGGUUGAAGUCAGUUUGCAGACUCAAGCAGCUCUUACUCGCUUCUGGUUUUCAGUGGCCUGCCUUCUGCAUAUGAUGAUGCAUAUAGAGAGAGAUUUCAUUGUUCCAUGCAACCGUUGUAACUGAAA